GCCGGGGGCGCGCGGGGCGGGGCGCGGCGAGCACGAAGUGGAAAGACCCGCCCCCUGCCCCCCGCCCACUGUCCCCCGUCCCCCGCCGCGGCCGGCGGAGCAGGAGAAAUUUGGUUGCUUGUUGGCCUUAACACAUGCCUCCAAAUUACAAAACAAGAUUUACUACCAGGUACACGUCGGAAGAAGCAGGUGUUAAUACCACUGGAACUUUGCCUUGCAAAUUAUUUACAUAAUCUGGAUAUGACUCAUUGCUCUUGGUGUAAUCCCCAAGGACCAGAAGCUCUACUUUAAAGAAAAAGAAACAUAAGAAGGAACUGAAGUAUGGGAAUCUUUUCAACCAUUACAACGCUUCAAGGUAUAUUUAUUUUCCAUUCUUUCACAGAGGCUAUAUCCAAUACGUCUGGAAACCUCAUUGGCUCUACCUUCAAAAUAUAUUCAGAAUUCAGGAAGUUCCUCAGGCAAAAAGGAAUAUGAGACCAACCAUAAACCUGGAUCUACAUCAAGAAAUGAAGAGUAUGGGAAAUGGAGUAAAACAAGUGAAACCCAACGUUCUCUAAAUAACAGUGUAAAAACUGAAUUAUAAGUCCUCAACUAAAAAUUCAGAAACUGAAAAAAAUAUAUACAAAUGGAGUAUCACUUUUCACAAGUAAAUGAAAAGUAACUUUGCUAUUAUCAGAAGACUGAUGAGGGACUUCCCUGGUGGUGCAGUGGUUAAGAAUCCGCCUGCCAAUGCUGGGGACAUGAGUUCGAUCCCUGGUCCGGGAAGAUCCUAAUGCCUCGGAGCAACUAAACCUGUGCGCCACAACUACUGAGCCUGCACUCUAGAGCCCCUGAGCCACAACUACUGAGCCCGUGCACCACAACUACUGAAGCCCACGCGCCGCAACCACUGAAGCCCGCAUGCCUAGAGCCCGUAUGCCUAGAGCCCGUGCUCCGCAACAAGAGAAGCCACCGCAUUGAGAAGCCCGUGCACCACAACGAAGAGUAGCCCCCGCUCGCCGCAACUAGAGAAAGCCCGUGCACAGCAAUGAAGACGCAACGCAGCCAAAAAAAAAAAAAAAAAGUUAUUUCCGGCCAAGGAGGCGUUAAUUAGAAGACUGAUGAAAUCUAGAAUAUUUUUAAAUGAAUAGCUCUUAGGCUUUAAAAGAAAACCUUUAUUACUAUUAUAUUUAUAGCCAUAUAAUUGCCCUAUGAAUACAUUCAUGGAAUGAAUUAUGGUACCUGCCGUGAGCUAUAAAGCAAGACAUAAAGUGUGGCAAGACGUACUUAACUUUGCUGAUGGAAUGCCCAUUCCCCUACCUCCAACAGUA